rnacentral:rRNA from 1 species
AUGAAAGUGAAAUCCUCUUCUUUAAGAAGAGUUGUUGCAAUUUUAGCUCCUGUAGGCGGCUUCAUUUUGCUUACCAUCUUGUUCCUCCUCACCUACUUUAUAAGUAAACAAACAACAGAGCAGCAACAACAUGAGAUGGAGGAGGAAGAGUUUGGGGAGGUACAAGGAACUCCAAUGAGGUUCACAUUUCAGCAGCUAAAAGAAGCAACUGAGCAAUUCGCAGACAAGCUCGGCGAAGGAGGAUUCGGGUCUGUUUUCAAGGGACAGAUAUCUGAUGAAAGGAUUGCAGUAAAACGUUUGGAUCGAGCUGGCCAGGGCAAAAGGGAAUUUGCUGCGGAGGUCCAGACAAUUGGCAGCAUUCAUCAUAUUAAUCUUGUGAGAUUGAUUGGUUUUUGUGCAGAGAAAUCACAUAGGCUCUUGGUGUAUGAGUACAUGCCAAAAGGAUCCUUGGACAGAUGGAUCUAUGGUCGACAUGACAAUGAUUCACCUCCUCCACAUUGGAGAACACGGUGCAAGAUUAUCACUAACAUAGCUAAGGGUCUCGCUUAUCUUCAUGAGGAGUGCAUGAAGAAGAUUGCCCAUUUGGAUGUCAAACCACAAAACAUCCUCUUAGAUGAUGACUUCAAUGCUAAACUUUCUGAUUUUGGACUAUGCAAGAUCAUUGACAGGGAUAUGAGUCAAGUGUUUACCAGAAUGAGAGGCACACCUGGAUAUUUAGCUCCUGAAUGGUUGACAUCACAGAUCACGGAAAAGGCCGAUGUCUAUAGCUUUGGUGUUGUGGUCAUGGAAGUCAUCAGCGGAAGAAAGAACCUCGACAAUUCUCGAUCUGAAGAGAGCAUCCAUCUCAUCACCCAAUUGGAGGAAAAGGUGAAGACUAAUCGGUUGGUAGAAUUGAUUGACAAUAAGAGUAACGAUAUGCUAGCACAUAAGCAGGAUGUAAUUGAGAUGAUGAAUCUCGCAAUGUGGUGUUUGCAGAUUGAUUGCAAAAGAAGGCCUAAAAUGUCCGAGGUAGUCAAGGUCUUGGAAGGUGCCAUGAAUGCAGAGAGCAACAUUGAUCAUAACUUCAUUGCAACAAGUCAAGUGUAUUUCGGCGCUGCUGGAAAUGUGGUCUCAUCGGUUCCACCUCUAGCUUCACAUGUAUCAGGUCCCAGGUGA